rnacentral:rRNA from 1 species
UGGGGAAUUUUGGACAAUUGGGCGAAAGCCUGAUCCAGCAAUGCCGCGUGUGUGAAGAAGGCCUUCGGGUUGUAAAGCACUUUUGUCCGGAAAGAAAUCCUUGGCUCUAAUACAGUCGGGGGAUGACGGUACCGGAAGAAUAAGCACCGGCUAACUACGUGCCAGCAGCCGCGGUAAUACGUAGGGUGCAAGCGUUAAUCGGAAUUACUGGGCGUAAAGCGUGCGCAGGCGGUUUGCUAAGACCGAUGUGAAAUCCCCGGGCUCAACCUGGGAACUGCAUUGGUGACUGGCAGGCUAGAGUAUGGCAGAGGGGGGUAGAAUUCCACGUGUAGCAGUGAAAUGAGUAGAGAUGUGGAGGAAUACCGAUGGCGAAGGCAGCCCCCUGGGCCAAUACUGACGCUCAUGCACGAAAGCGUGGGGAGCAAACAGGAUUAGAUACCCUGGUAGUCCACGCCCUAAACGAUGUCAACUAGUUGUUGGGGAUUCAUUUCCUUAGUAACGUAGCUAACGCGUGAAGUUGACCGCCUGGGGAGUACGGUCGCAAGAUUAAAACUCAAAUGAAUUGACGGGGUCAUAGCUGUUUCCU